rnacentral:lncRNA from 1 species
AAACAUUUCCGCCAGCUUGGAUCAGCUUAUAACACGUUCGGGAUUUAAAUACGGUCCAUUCGGGCCCAUCUACGAUGUGUUAAGCAUAUCCGGAAGCUUCUGGAGGAUGCAGUUGCUUGUCUACUUCCUUAGGAAGCUAGACAUGUGUUACUCCUUUACUGGAGAAUCCUCCAAGCAGCUCUUUCUUAUGUCCUAUUGGUUGAAUUGGUGGAUGGCCACAAAACUUGUUUUAAUUGGACAGAUUUGUGGCUGCACACCAAUCUCUCUCCAAUUGGUUGCAUGGGGCACCCAGGACAGCUACUGCUUGUAACCCACGACAUAUACCUUCUCCUGAGCUCAUUCUCCAGCCUAUAAAUAGCAGACCACCCCCAUAGUCAUUUCUCAUGCUUAGAACCCUAACCAUAGCAGCUCGAAAAAGUCUAAACCCUAAGGUAAAAUGUUUUUGUCUUUAGCUUUUUUUUUUUUUUUUAGAUUUUGUUUUUCUUUUUUUUUUUCUUAGUUAGAAAUUGGAUAGCCUUUCUUACCCUACCCUUCCUGUAUUUAGAUUUCUAAAGCUCUAGAGUUUUCUGAUAAAAGUAUAAAGUGAAGCCGACCGCGAGAUAGAAGCGUUUCAGUCCAAAACUUUCAUCUAAGUGUUGAGGUGAGUCUCGGUUAUGGGUUAUGAUUGUUGUGUGUGCGACUAGCGCCUGCAAAACAAGAGUAUUACUUGAUGCAUUGCUAGGUUGUGCGUUUAGAUAUAUAAUGAUAUGAUAAUGAUUGAUGUUUGUGAAAGAUAUUGAGUUAUAUCGUCGGGCCUCGGCUCGAGAGGUAUAACAUGAUUGUGAUACAUUGAUGUUGUGUUGCAUAUACUUAUGUCAUUGCAUUAUAUUGUUUGGGCCUCGGCUCAGAUAAUUUAACAUGUUUGAUCAUAUCUUAACGGGGAAACCUGUAAAUCUACGGACUUGAUCCGUGACAGUCCGACAGUCGGGUGGAGUGUCGUGAGAGUCAUCGGUGUCCACUCUAGGCCCGUGCCUUAUCCGAGGCCUUACCAAAAUUAGUUCCGGGCAGGACGGGAAGACACGUGUGAUAGGGUUAGCUACCCUCGACCGUGUAGCUGCAUGACGAUGCGGCAAGUGUGUUAUCCGGGCCAUCGGCUUUUUAGACUUUUUGUUUAGAGUCAAUGGGCGCAAGAAGGGAUGUGUUAUGGACUUCGUAUCGAGAUAGGAACCAAUGGCGAGAGGCAGUCCUCGAUGAUCGAUAAUGAUCUAACCACUCGUGAAGAGUGGAUGCUUGUUUACAUGAUUGCUUUAUUUUUGCAUUGCAUAUUUCUUAAUAUAAUUGAUCCUUGUUGCUUAAUGUUUGAUGCAUAAUGGGGGGAUAAAUAAUUGUUAGGAAACCCGACUCACUGAGAAAAAUAGUUGCUCAUUAGACUCUUUGUUUUGCAGGUAACCCGUAGUAGUAGGUUCCAUUUGGGAUCGAAGGAGCACAAAGCUGUUGGUGUAGAUUUGCUACCUUUUGCAAACAUGUACGUUUUGUAAUAUGUAAGAUAUCGUUUUGAACAUCGGCCGAGCAUGUAUAAACUUUUGAUGUGGUUGAACUUAAAGUAUAUAUGAAUAAAAAAAGGGGUUUGUGAAAUGCUUGGAUUCCAUAUGAUACUAGUCCUAGUCCGGGACGAACUAACUAACCGUUUCAAACUCGGGUUGCAAAGCUUUAACUUGGAAUCGCUAGGAAACCCGUUCUUGAACAUAUGAUCUUAGGAUUUCGGAUCUGAUCUGGGAACCUCGGAUCAAAUGUUCGGGCACGUGGUAGUAGUAUCUUCGAUCUGGUUAGAGUUCUUUAGUUCGUCGUGCAUGUUCUUGUUUGAUUGGUGCAUGGCAAACUAAUUAACUUUUAUUUAUUCCGGAUCGGGGGUGUUACAACGAAGGUGGUUUCAGAGCAUGGUUCACUUUGCUCACUUGGGAACCUGUUUUCAAUAAUUUAUCGAGUCAAAGGUGUCGCAAAAGGUAGAAUAGGAAACCAACAUGCUCCUUUGUUAGAUAAGUUGGGAUUAGUACUUACCAUGGGUCAUACUGCAGUAUGUUUCCAAGACGUACAAGGAGUGAGGAGCCAAUGAUGACACCACCAAGAUAUGGACAACGUAAUUCUGAAAACCGCAGAGUCUAUUCAAACCUUGAGGUAACAGAUGAUUCUGCGAUAGCACAAGGAAAUAACCAUUGCUAUGAACACGAACAUGAGUCGACCGGGAGAAAUCCGACGGAUUCACAUAUGGGCUAUGAGCAAGAAGAACGAUAUGAGGAUCUGAGGGAGAGGAAUCAAGCACCUGAUAUGUAUGGAUCAAGGCGGAAUUAUGCAACAACACAUAAUCCAAGGCGGAAUGAAUCUGAGUUCAUGCACCGGGAAAGGACGCCCGAGCCACGUUGUAGGCAAGAACAGAGGACAGCUGGGAGUUCUGAUCCUCUUAUAGUAUUAGUACAAGGCUUGCUAGAUAGACUUGAUCAUAGAACCGGUGAAUCAUCAGAGCGAAGACCAUCCUCCCCUCCUGAUUACCUGAAGAUGGUCAAGUUAAUGACAGACGGUUUACGAAUGACCCAGAUGUGUGUUACACCUUGUGGUGGUACAGGACAUUUUUCUAGCAGUUGUCCUUAUAGUCAGAGAACCACUGGCCGACUACAAUCGCCCAGAUGAGUAUUAUUCCAACAGAUCAGCUAUUCGACUUCCGAAGAUCCAGAAGAAUAAUUUCGAGCUGGAGCCUCAAUACGACACUCUCGUGUCGCAGAUACCCUACUCUGGGUUAGCGCACGAGCAUCCUAUGGACCAUCUAGAACGGUUCGAGGAUUUAAUCGCUGCUAUCCGGUUGGAAGGAGUCCCCAAAGAUUUCCUGCUGUGUAAGUUCUUCUCGUGUGGUGAGAAAGGGCAUUAUGCGAACAGUUGUCCCCAUAAGAGACAAGUUACGCUUCCAGCACCACCCACUAGACUAGCGAUUGAACCAGCCCCGAAGCGCCAGGCAGUUGGAAAGCAAGUGAGUGCUUUAGAGUUAGGAAAACCCGAACCACAACAGCCCCAUCAGGGACCGAUCACAGGUAAGUAGGGUUUUAACUCAUUGCUUGUUUGUGUGAAUUUAAUGCAUGAAAUAUAAAAUGUGAAAUAAAUAUUGUUUAGGAACAUUGUGUGUUGGUGGAGUUUAUGAGCAUGUUCUCUUCGACUCGGGUGCCACACAUAGCUUUGUGAUACCUGAGGUAGUGUCGAGUUUUAAGGGAACCUUUACUAGAGUAAGGGUAGGUGUUUCAGUUAGAAACCCUGGGAACCAUAACCGUCGUGCCGAUAGUUGUGUACUUGGGAUUCCAAUCUAUGUGGGAUCAACGGUAUAUCCGGCAGACCUGCUAGUUUUUCCUUUAGGACAAAACGAAGUGAUUUUGGGCAUGGACUGUCUGUCGAGAUACUACGCACAGUUGGAUUGUGGUCGAGGAAGAAUUACACUUUAAGAAAGAGGACAACCAUCAAUGACAUUGAUAUACCUUGGAUUUGACCCGUUUUCAUCCAUGGUAUAUAGGUGUUUUACUAUACAUAUAUCUAUGUUUUCUACUCUUCUAGGUAUGUUUUCAGGUUCAGGUGCAUUUCGGAGUAAAGCUAUGACUUUGGAGCAUUUUGGAGCUUAAAGACAUUUCAUCCGAGCUGACCAUGUACAGGUCGACGAGAGGAAGAACAAUAGAUCGAUGCACAUCCGGUGCUGUCGAUCGACACCAUGAGAUGCCUCGACAAAUGAAGAUUAAUAUCGAUCUAUGUACACAAGUACCAUCGAUCGAUGUCGAGACAUUGGACAUGCGACUUUUGGAUCCAGCGAACUUGAAGCCCAAGUCCAAGCUAAAUUACGGAAAUGCUCUGACGAGUUUUUAACUUAGUAGAUUAUAUACUGCCUAAGUGUUUUGACGGCAGAGGAGAGCUUUUUGUUACAGUUUUACUUUGAGAGAGAGAGAGAGAGUUUUGGAGAGAAUAUCACUUGUGAUUGGAACUCUUUGUUUUCAUUUCUUUUCAUCUAUACUAUGAAUUUCCAUUUCUUCAUUGUCAUGAAUUGUUUUGCUAUGUCUGAGUAGUUCAAUUAUUAGAUCCAGGGUUCAGAUAGGUUUGUGGGAUUAGCCCCAAACUAUAGAUCUGCCUUGUUGUGAUAUUCAUGAUAGAUUUGUAUUCAUUGCUUGUUUUAGCUUUGCUAACUAGAACAUGAUCAUAGGAUUGCAUACUCAAGCACCCUUGUUAUCCCGUCAUGACAUAUAUCUAUCAUAUUAGGACUGGUAGAGAAGGCUAACCGCCAAUUUAGUAUCUUAAUAGGGCAUGUCAUACUCGCGCAUAGGCCUGGCUAGAACCCGUCAAUCGAUGUCCUCAACUGAUUAUCGGUCGACGUAGGUAAAGGUGUAUCGGUCGACGUCCCUAUAGGACCAUCGAUCAACACUCUUUCGUUGUCAACAUACUAACCGUUGAGACACGACAUCUAGUUUGUUAACCAGUGAAACAUGCGACAGCUGAUCACUGAGUUAAGCGGUUGAGCUCUAACAUAUCAUGCAUGCAACAAAUAGGCAUCUAUAGAUAUUAUAAUCUCCAACACCUGAAUAGUGGCCCUGCGUCUAAUAUCAUUUCCAACCAAGUUACAUUUACUAUUUACUUCGCUUGUUACUAUUGCUAUUUCAUUUAAACAUUUACAACUCUAAGAUUAAUAAACAGUAGAUUUAAUUGUUCCCUAGCUCCUUGUGGAUUCGAUCCCUAAGUACUACAUCUGAACCACUUUUGAUGAGAGUAACAGUCCUUAGGGUAAUUUGAGUGGUACUAAAUUUGGCGCCAUUAUCGGGGAGCUUUGAUCGCCAUUAGAUUUAGUUUUAUUGAUUCUUAUUCUCUUCUCUACCCCCUUUCUAACAUAAUCUUUUUCUUGUCUUUUCAGGUGCAUGCCCAGUCGUACCAGAAGCAACAAGGAGAAAGACUUGAUGUUCUCAUACGAUCCUGCUCACUUGGAACGUACCAUCUGUAGAGGUCAACGUUCCACAUCGCUCGACACAACAACUUCGUCGUCGAUCUAUACUAACAACCAAUCGUUGACCGACACCAGACCUUCAUCGUUGAUCGAUCCUAAUGGUUCGACAACGAUCGAUAUUAUACCGCGUACGUCGAUAGAUACCGUGUCGUCAAAAAAGGUAAACGUUGUUAUUCAAACACAGGACGAGAAAGGAAACCUGUAUGACCAGGACAGUCAUAUGCGUAAUGCAACAAGUCAGAAAAUAGACGCUCAGGGGACUGUAAUCCCUGAUGCUGAUGCUACAUGAGCUGCUCAACCUGUAGACGAGGACACUCGAUCGAAACCACUGGCCGACUACAAUCGCCCAGAUGAGUAUUAUUCCAACAGAUCAGCUAUUCGACUUCCGAAGAUCCAGAAGCAUAAUUUCGAGCUGGAGCCUCAAUACGACACUCUCGUGUCGCAGAUACCCUACUCUGGGUUAGCGCACGAGCAUCCUAUGGACCAUCUAGAACGGUUCGAGGAUUUAAUCGCUGCUAUCCGGUUGGAAGGAGUCCCCAAAGAUUUCCUGCUGUGCAAGUUCUUCAGAUACACGCUGAAUGGAGAAGCGAUGCACUGGCUUAGGCAGCUACCCACAGGAUCCUUAACAUUCUGGGCCGACAUCAAGAAUGCUUUCUUUCAAAAUUUCUUCGAUGAGGCGCGCGCUGGAGAACUUCAAAACAAAAUUUUCACAUUCUCGCAGGAGGCUGGAGAGUCCUUCAAAGAUGUGUGGAUUAGAUUUAUGUUCUUCCAGCGAGACUGUCCACACCACGGAUUUAACGAAGUGCAUCUGCUAAGCACUUUCUUCUGAGGUCUCGCCUUACAGUAUCAAAUGGCUCUUGAUACGGCGAGUGAAGGAAACUUCACUACUCAGAAUCCGUUAGAAGCUGUGAGAAUUAUCGAAAACCUUGCUAACAGCAGCAGCACCAAAAACACUGACUCUGAACGGAAGAAGUCUGUAGCCUCUAUCGGGAAGGAACAGAUGGACGAAGUAAGAGCUAAGUUAGAUGUGGUGCACGAGCUUCUUAGGAAGCAAGUCUGUUUAGCUGAAGGAGAAGUAGCAGAAACGGAAGGAGAAGAAAAUGUGAACUACAUCGGAGGUACCGGAUUCCAGAAAUUUGGAAACCAUGGCGGAAACAAAAACUUCUUUGGAAAUGGUCAAAGAAGUAACCAGAGUUCACAAUUUCAAAAACCCUUCAACAACAGCAAAAGCUACUCGAACUUCUACUACCAGAAUCACCACCCCAUACUCAGGAAAGCAAGAUCGAAGAAAUGCUUGAUCGAGUACUGUUGGGACAACAACAAAUCACCGUGGAUUUCAACGGUAAAAUAGACUUCGCCUACAACAAUCUGAACACCAAAAUCGAGACCUUAGGGACUCAGGUGAGAAAACUUGAGACGCAAGUGAUUCAGACUGGCGAAACUAUAAAGAGACAAGAAGCUUUCGCUAGAGAGGCAGGAGCUGACAAAGGAAAAUACUACGUAAAUGCCAUCAUAGAUGAUGAUUUCUGGCAAGUGGUGAGACAUGAAAAACUUGAGGAAGGAGACUUCGAAAUCGAAAGCUCCAUGAGUCUCGGCGGAUCCCAAUGAUGUCGACCGAUGUCGAUGAACUCGCAUCGAUCGACAGACCAUGACAAAGAUCGAUGGACGGAUUACUCUAGUCAUCGAUCGAUGUCGUCCGCUAAAUCGACUGAAUGCAAUGCAGUUCGAAUUCUAACUCAUGAGGAAUUCGCAGCCAAGCAUCCUCACCCACCCUCCCCUUUCUAUGAUAAAAUCGAUCGAUUGGUUGACCCAAUCAUCGAUCGACAGAGUGAGUCCGACGUCGAUCGUCACAACACACCUCCCAUCGAUCGACAUGCACCUGUAACAUACUGAGUGCGGUUACCCUCAAUCGAUAAUGACUAUAUCAACACACUCAAACCACCUAAACUAUUAGCUAGCCCACCUGAACCAAAACCCAACCCUUUAAAUAGUUCACCAGAACCAGUUCAAGAAGAUCAGGAAACUGAAGGGAGAAGGUUAAGGAAAAGAAAGGAGAAAAUUCCUAAAAACCUUAAGAGGGAAGCUAACGAUAAGGAGAUGAAUUGUUUCAAUAAAAGAAUCCUCAGAAUCCCAAUCGAAAAACCUUUUGAUGAAGCUUACUUCAAACACCGGUUGUGGAUGUUCUUCAGAGAAACAAAGGUAACUGAGGAGGACAUUAGGAUAAUGUUUCAUCAAGUAAGAGAGAAGAUGAGACACAUGAUCAUAUUGUCGAAGAAGAAUGAUCCUGGGAAGUUUGCAAUACCAUGCGUAGUCAAGGGUGUUGAAUUUCCCCAUUCAAUAUGUGACACAGAAGCAUCAAUUAGUAUCCUCCCUAGGAUCAUGGCAGACCAUCUUGGUUUGACCAUCGAACCUUCAACAGAAUCAUUCACCUUCGUGGAUCUUUCAGAAAAACGAUCAGGAGGUAUCAUAAGAGAUCUGGAGGUAGAGAUUGGUAAUGCCCUUGUCCCGGUAGAUUUUCAUCUCCUGGACAUCAAGCUUAAUUGGAACUCUUCACUUGUGCUUGGAAGAUCUUUCCUAGCUACAGUUGGAGCUGUAUGUAACAUGAACAAAAACAAAUUGUGUCUGACGCUGAUAGACCCCAACAUCCACUACGACCCUAUCCGACCUAAGAGAAAAAUUAUUAAUUCUGUGGAUUACGGGAAAGAACUUGGCUUCAUUGGCGCAUGCCAUUGUGGAGCAGAGUACGAAACAGAGUACGAAACAGAGUACUCGGAAUCGAUCGACACCCACACCUUUCCAUCGAUCGAUUCCAAUGAGUCAACGGUGACUGAUGACCGCAACAACACGUUGCUCGACGUUGAUCAGCCGAUUGACCAUUUCGCUCUACCUAAUCAUUGUUACCCACACUUUUCCUUCUAACCUCCAAGCAAGAGAGGACGUGAUGAUUAUUCCAUAGGCAGUUGGGCAGACAGUGGUUUCCAUGAAAGUUUUGCAGUUGACACUGUAAUUACUUCACCUAACGAGGAACAUACAUAGGAAUACUAUGAGGAUUAUUGGAAGGAACAUGCAAUAGAAAUGUCUUUGCAGGAUGAAAGAUUUGAAACACAUAAGUUCACCAACACGUUUCCAACAUCGUUCGACGAAGUGCACUCCACAUCGGUCGAUACCCACCCUCGUCCAGCAAAACAACCGCUCACAUCGAUCGACACCCAUACAGGAACAUCGAUCCAUAUUCGCGCCGCAGCGAAAAUCCAGGAGCCGGAGAAUAUUCCCUCUCCAACUAGGUUUAUAGAUACCUAUUUAAAACGUUUUGCACCCCUGAAACCACCUCCACACAUCAGAGCAGACACACAAGCAGAAAAGAUGAACACUCUUCCGUCUACAUCAACAGGAAAAUCCAUGAAAAGCAAUCAUCUCAAGAACACAAGUUCUGCAGAAAUUAUUCUGCCAUCGAUCGAUGCAUCUGUAUCAACAUCGAUCAAUCCUACGCUUAAACCAAAUCUUUCUAUUUCUAAAUUGAAUGAUAAUGCAAACAUUGAUUACGGUUUUCUAACACCUGAUGAAUUUGGUAUUUUCAAGGACCCAGAUGGCAACGCAUGUGCAAUAGAUGGAAGGAUCAUACAAGUGUCCAAAGAGGACAUAGCAUAUAUCCUUCAAGUGGCCAAUGGACCUGACAACCUAUUCUCACAGCAACGUGGCACUCCAGACGUCAUUCAAAGCGAUCCAAAAAAACACGUAGGAGUCGCCGCAACAGAAAUCAAUCCAGAUCUAUCAUGCCAACCAAAAGGCCAAGCAUCAAUCGACGGGACAAGUCAGACAUCGAUCGACAGGAUAACACCAACGUCGACCGGUAAGGAUGACCCGACGUCGAUCGAUAGACGUUAUGAAUUUGGAUACCGCGCUUUUGACAUGUACGGAGCCAGAAAGUUCACUUGGGAACGAAGGGACGAGUAUGGAGUCUACAGAGAUGAGUGUGGACACGCACAAGGCGUAGCUGGUGAGAUGAUACCUGUCACAAAGGACGACAUCAGGAAAUUACUGGAAAGAGCAUCUCUUUUUGAAGAGAGCCACAUCUGUCUUUCAGAACAAGCCACUUCCUUCACAAUCACAAGACCGGCACAAGAACUCUACACCAAAGAUGAAAUCAACGAGAUGGGGACUGGUAUUUGGGGAGCUCAGGAAAAACUGGGAGAGGAGCUCAAAUCAUUGGUAGAAGAUACACAUCAACCUUUGGAUAGAGGCUACAAUGAGCUUUUCAGAAGUAUGGUAGAAAUGAGGACAUAAAUUGAGAGUUUACGACAUCAACUUGAGAAGGAAGCCACGACCUCAGCAUCGAUCGACGCACCACAUGGUCCAUCGAUCAACGUCAGUCUUCCGACAGCCCAGAUCCCUGCAGAACCGUAAUGUUCACCAGAACACAAGGAUGAAUGGGAAGUCUCAUACAUCAACACGAGGAUAAACGACGUGUACUACCCUCUCAACAACAACGUGGACUGGCUGAGCACUAAAAUCGAGCUACUACAGCAAGAUCUGGACACCAUUCGCAAGAAGGACCAACAACCAGCCACAUCGGUCGAUGUGUGUACCAUCACAUCGCUCGACGCUAAGAUCUCAGCCAUGGAUGACAGGCUGCAGACUUACGAGGACAAGCAUGACCGCUUCGUAUCACCAGUCAUGCUAUAUUAAAUAAAUUGUCUAGUCAAAUACUUCAUGCCCAAAGGGAUAUUGAUAAAAUUACUAAUCAAAAUUUUUUGCAGGCAAACUCAUUUUCGAUCGACAGGCUACGAGGGCCAUGGAUUGAUGGCAAGAAUCCUGUGGAGUUACUUCCCUACACAGCAGCAGAGGUUGACAAGAUCACAUCCAAGAUCUACACUGCUAUAGACACUAUGGAGGAACGACUUGACAAACCCUGCGAUGACAUCUACUUUCCAUUCGACAACAGAAUCAGUGGACUCAGCCACGCAGAAUGGCUACAGAAAGAAGUCAAAGCCAUUCAGAGGCAACUCGCAGCUCAACAGCAGAUAUUAGCAUCGAUCGACAGGAAGCGAGCGAAAUCGCUCGAUGGUAAGUCACCGAGAUCGACCGACGAACACUUAAUCGCAUCGAUCGACGCCGAGUCUACACCAGCCGACGAGCAGCUGAUACACAAAAGAAUAGAGUCAAUGCAUGAGAAACUGACAUAACUUUCAGCAUACGCCUAUGACAACAUAAGCUGGCACCAGGUCAGCAUUGACAACGUUCAAGAUAGGCUAUAGAACAUCUCCAAUGUACUUAAGAAGAUGGAUGACAAAUGGACAAGAAAUGAUGAGGCCACAAGAAGUUUCAUUGCAUCUUGGUCCAGAAUGUGCAGAGAUGACGUGGAUGCUUGUCUUCCAACAAGCAGCUGUUUAUCCACCAAAUAGCCAAUCACUACCACAAUCAAGCUAAAUGACUAUAACCAAGCGCUGAGUGGGAGGCAACCCACUAUUAGGUAUUUUAUUUUGGUUUUAUUAGCUAGCAUUUAUUUACUUUCGUUUUAUUUCUUUCAGAUUUAGGAGACCCAAGUAAGAGGACCUGAAUAUUGACCGCCGACGAGACGUCGACAUCGCUCGACAUAGACAAACACACGAUGAUCAAUGCAACAUUUUCACAUCGAUCGAUAUCUAAUCCAGUCAGAUGUAUCUUCCUUACUUGUUACAUUUCAUACUUAUGAAUUAUUCCAUCAUAACUCCGACUGAGUUACACUGGGACAGUGUAAUUUAAGUCUGAGAGGAGAUUUACUGGUAUAAUUUAUUUUAUUCUUAUAUAAAGGAAUUUUAAUAAAUUAUGCUUAGCUAUUGGAAAUGAGACUAUAAUCUUAUAUUGAUUUAAACUUGAAUAUCUAACCAAUCUUUAGCACCAUUUUAGAUUUACUGAUUGUAGAUAGCACUAUAGAUGCUAAAGCAGAUCAACCUAUCAACUACACACUUGCCUUGACCGUAUGAAGUAACCAAAGCUGAUUUCCAACACUAAACCUGACAUAAUCGCUUGUCUUGGGGCUUGGUAUACAUGGGAUCGGAUUCUUCAGACAGGUCUGGAAGGUAACGCCUUGUGUAGAUUAUUUAUCACAUUUUCUCUCUCUAAAUUUUGACCCUAGAAUAGUUAGUGAUUUAUAUUUCAGUUCUAUCUAUUUAUAAAUUAAAAAAAAUAAAAAAAUUAAAAAAAAUAAAAAAAUAAGAUCUAAUGUUUACUUAGGAUGAGUCUGAACAGGACUUAGUGGCUAAAACCGUUAAGGCUUGAUUCAUAAAGACUCCAAUAAAAGAGUUCGAAACGGGACUUUGAGGCGGCAAUCUUCAAGGCUCGCUUUCACAAAGAAUUCUUCGAUAUCGGUCAAAAAGAAGUGAACAGAGCUUCGUGGCUACUAUCAUUAAGUUUUGAUUCAUGGAAGCCUGUCCAAUCUUGGUCACUGAUACUGCAAUGGAAGCAGACUUUGACACAAGAGAGAAAAUUAGAGAGAGAGAAAUUAGGAACUAACUUUUACAUGUAGUUCCAGAUACUUGUCUGAAAUCCUUGCAUCCUAUGAUCAAAACUCCCAAGGUAAAGCAUUCACUUUUUAUUUAUGCUAAGAAAUGAAGUCAGUAGAGGGGAUGUCAGACGUGAAUUACUGAGUUGUGUUAUGUUAGAAAUAGUUGCUAAGCUAGGAUAUUGCAUAGUGUGCUUCUAUGAUUAGGACUUUUUAGAUGUGGUUGUAAAAUUGUUGAGGAAAAGAUUUAUAUGCUUUAAAAUCUGUGAGUCCCUAAUAUUUUCAAGCCUCUUUCAGAGAGACUGCAUGUAUGUUUUGCUUGAGGACAAGCAAAAGGGUAAGUCUGGGGGAGUUGAUAUACCUUGGAUUUGACCCGUUUUCAUCCAUGGUAUAUAGGUGUUUUACUAUAUAUAUAUAUAUAUCUAUGUUUUCUACUCUUCUAGGUAUGUUUUCAGGUUCAGGUGCAUUUCGGAGUAAAGCUAUGACUUUAGAGCAUUUCGGAGCUUAAAGGACAUUUCAUCCGAGCUGACCAUGUACAGGUCGACGAGAGGAAGAACAAUCGAUCGAUGCACAUCCAGUGCUGUCGAUCGACACCAUGAGAUGCCUCGACAAAUGAAGAUUAAUAUCGAUCGAUGUACACAAGUACCAUCGAUCGAUGUCGAGACAUUGGACAUGCGACAUUUUGGAUCCAGCGGACUUGAAGCCCAAGUCCAAGCUAAAUUACAAAAAUACCCUGACGAGUUUUUAACCUAGUAGAUUAUAUACUGCCUAAGUGUUUUGACGGCAGAGGAGAGCUUUUUGUUACAGUUUUACUUUGAGAGAGAGAGAGAGAGAGUUUUGGAGAGAAGAUCACUUGUGAUUGGAACUCCUUGUUUUCAUUUUUUUUCAUCUAUACUAUAAAUUUCCAUUUCUUCAUUGUCAUGAAUUGCUUUGCUAUGUCUGAGUAGUUCAAUUAUUAGAUCCAGGGUUCAGAUAGGUUUGUGGGAUUAUCCCCAAACUAUAGAUCUGCCUUGUUGUGAUAUUCAUUAUAGAUUUGUAUUCGUUGCUUGUUUUAGCUUUGCUAACUAGAACAUGAUCAUAGAAUUGCAUACUCAAGCACCCUUGUUAUCCCAUCCUUACAUCUAUCUAUCAUAUUAGGACUGCUAGAGAGGGCUACCCGCCAAUUUAGUAUCUUAAUAUGGCAUGUCAUACUCGCGCAUAGGCCUGGCUAGAACCCGUCGAUCGAUGUUCUCAACUGACUAUCGGUCGACGUAGGUAAAGGUGUAUCGGUCGACGUCCCUAUAGGACCAUCGAUCGACACUCUUUCGUUGUCAACAUACUAACCGUUGAGACACGAGAUCUAGUUUGUUAACCAGUGAAACAUGCGACAGCUGAUCACUGAUUUAAGCGGUUGAGCUCUAACAUAUCAUGCAUGCAACAAAUGAGCAUCUAUAGAUAUUAUAAUCUCCAACUCCUGAAUAGUGGCCCUGCGUCUAAUAUCAUUUCCAACCAAGUUACAUUUACUAUUUACUUCGCUUGUUACCAUUGCUAUUUCAUUUAAACUUUUACAACUCUUAGAAUUAAUAAACACUAGAUUUAAUUAUUUCCUAGCUCCUUGUGUAUUCGAUCCCUAAGUACAAUAUUUGAACCUCUUUUGAUGAGAGUAACACUCCUUAGGAUAAUUUGAGUGGUAUCAGACAUACUAUGGAAUAUGUCCAAGUGCUGGAGUGUCACUUGUAUCUGCCUUAAGAGUUGAGAAAGAUUUGAUCGAGGGCGAGGUAUAUCUUGUAACUCUAACUACCCUUGGAGGAGAAUUGAAUGAAGGGACAAAGUUGGAAGAGAUAGCAGUAGUAAGGGAAUACCAGGAUGUAUUCCAGCCAUUGGAAGGAUUGCCCCCACCACGAAGUGAUCCUUUCACCAUUACAUUUGAGCCGGGAGCAGCCCCAAUAGCUAAGGCACUUUAUCGAAUGGCUCCAGCUGAGCUUGCUGAAUUAAAGAAGCAGUUGGAAAAUUUGAUAGAAAAAGGAUUUAUCAAACCGAGUUCUUCACCAUGGGGAGCACCUGUCUUAUUUGUAAAGAAGAAAGACGGUACCAUGCGGUUAUGCAUCGAUUAUAGAGGGAACAAUGUUACAGUAAAGGACAAGUAUCCCUUGCCAAGGAUCGAUGAAUUGUUGGAUCAGCUUCAUGGGGCAAGCUGGUUCUCAAAGAUAGAUUUGGCAUCGGGAUAUCAUCAAAUCCCAAUAUCAGAGUCCGAUAUCAUGAAGACGGCUUUUAGGACCCGGUAUGGGCACUAUGAAUUUGUGCUAAUACCUUUUGGUCUUACUAAUGUGCCGGCUGCUUUCAUGCGCUUGAUGAAUGAUAUAUUUCAUGAUUACUUGGAUAAAUUUGUAAUUAUCUUUAUUGAUGAUAUACUUAUUUAUUCCAAGAGUAAAGAUCAUGCAGAGCACCUCCAAAAGGUAGUUAGAGCGAUUAAGAAGCCAUAAGUUGUUCGCCAAGUUUAGUAAAUGUAGUUUCUGGAAAAGGGAGAUUGGAUUCCUUGGUCAUCUAGUGUCAGAGAAGGGAGUUGCAGUAGAUCCUGAAAAGGUUUAAGUAGUUAAGGACUGGCCACGCCCUACCAGCGCUACCGAGGUUCGAAGCUUUCUUGGAUUGGCUGGGUAUUAUCGAAAGUUUGUGAGGAACUUUUCCAUCAUGGCCAAACCCUUGACGAGGCUGACUGGGAAAGAUAUAUCAUUUGAAUGGGAUAAGAAAGAGGAAAAGGCUUUUACACAAUUAAAGGAAGAUUUGACGACAGCACCUAUUCUUGCAUUACCUACUCCAGGAAGACCUUACACAGUAUACACUGAUGCUUCUCGAGUAGGACUGGGUUGUGUACUGAUGCAGGAUGAAAAGGUCAUCACCUAUGGUUCAAGACAGUUAAGGAAGCACGAGGAGAAUUACCCCACCCGCGAUCUAGAGAUGGCCGCAGUGGUAUUUGCUUUAAAAAUAUGGAGAUCCUAUCUUUAUGGCGAGACGAUUCAAAUCUUUACUGAUCACAAAAGUCUCAAGUAUCUCUUUACUCAGUCAGAUUUGAAUUUGAGACAAAGGAGGUGCAUGGAGUUUAUCACGGAUUAUGACUUACAAAUCCAAUAUCACCCAGGAAAGGCGAAUGUGGUAGCAGAUGCACUGAGUCGGAGGAGAAGUGAUACAACUAUUGAGAAAGACUUAGAAGCCUUAAACGCAGAAUUCAAGAUGAUUAGUCUUUCAGCCAUAGAAGGCAAGGGCAGCGAGCCAUUGGGAUUGCGAGCAGUGAAUCAAGCAAACUUCCUGCAAAGAAUUGAGAAGAGCAGAAGGAAGAUGUGAAGCUAAAGAAGAUUAUAAAAGAACUUGAAGAAUCAGGCGGAAGAAAUGAUAGUGGUUAUCAUUUGGCUGAUGACAGAACACUCCUACUGAACGGAAGGAUAACCGUACCUGUAGGAAAGGAGUUACGAGAAGAGAUUUUGAGAAUCGCACACCACUCAAUACUAAGUAUUCAUCCUGGAAGCACCAAGAUGUACCAGGAUAUACGUCGAUACUAUCACUGGCCAGGAAUCAAACGAUCAGUUGCUAAGUGGGUAGCUCAGUGCCAGACCUGCCAACAAAUUAAGGCUGACCAUCAAGUGCCGGGAGGAUUAUUGCAAAGCCUACCAAUCCCAGAAUGGAAGUGGGAGUCAGUGGCUAUGGAUUUUGUAACGGGACUACCUCUAGCACCAGGAAGAGGGAAUGAUACUAUAUGGGUGGUGGUAGACCGACUAACUAAGACUGCUCCUUUUCUACCCAUUAGAGUUGUUGACAAGGUAGAAGUACUGGCAGAAGUUUACUUUAAGGAGAUAGUACGAUUACACGGAGUUCCUGCCAACAUAGUAUCUGAUCAUGAUCCAAGAUUUACGGCUCAAUUCUGGAGAGCUUUCCAGCAAGUAUUGGGGACUGAUCUUCAUAUGAGUACAGCGUUUCAUCCUGAAACUGACGGGCAGACGGAGCGAACAAUCAGAACCUUGGAAGAUUUGCUAAGGAUGUGUGUUUUAGACUGGUCAGGUACAUGGGAACAAUACUUACCUUUGGUAGAGUUCUCUUAUAACAACAGUUACCAUGCAAGUAUUGGAACGUCCCCAUAUGAGGCAUUAUAUGGACGACCUUGCCGCACACCACUGUGUUGGGCUGAAGUUGGAGAAAGACAUAUGUUAGGAUCAGAUGUAGUAGAUGAAACAACAGAAAAGAUAAAGAUUGUCCGGGAGAAUAUGAAGAAAGCUCAAGACAGACAGAAGAAGUAUGCCGAACAGAAUAGACGUGAAGUAAUAUUUCAAGUUGGUGAUUGGGUAUAUUUGAAGGUGGCUGCACAGAAAGGGAGAGAUAGAUUCGGAAAAGUGAGAAAGUUAGCCACUCGAUAUAUAGGACCAUACCGAGUGAUGCAACGGGUUGGAGAAGUAGCCUAUCAAUUAGACUUACCAUCAGAUAUGGCACUUCACCCAGUUUUUCAUGUCUCAAUGUUAAGAAGGCAUAUACGAGAUCCUACCGAAGUAGAGCCGCAACGAGUUGAAAACCUUCGUUCCAACAUCACUUACCCUGAAGGACCACUUUGAAUCGGAGAAAGACGAAUAAGAAAACUGAAGAAUCGAGAGAUUCAUCAAGUGCAAGUAUUUUGGGGAAAACAAUGUCGAGUAAUUGUGACAUGGGAAGAUGAAGAGAGGUUUAGAGCAAAUCAUCCUGAACUGUUUUUGGAAGAUGAUGAAGAUCAGAUGGGUGGAGCAUCAAACCACUAAGAAUUCGGGACGAAUUCUAUUAAGAGGGGGAGAAUGUAAUAACCCUCUUUAAAGAGUAAAACGCAGACAAGAAAAAAUCUUGUAACAGCCGAGAAAAUUACUCAAGUAAGUGGAAGUCGGAUUGAUCUUUUCCUGUGGAUGUUUGUGGAUCCCAAGGUACAUAAGAAAAAUUUUCAAAGUCUUAGAAUAGUUUUCCAUCUUAAAAAAUAAAUUCUUCAGGAAGUUUAGUGGAUUGAAAAUGCUCGCGGUUCGGUCUAGAACGUCCUAGUCGGACGAGAGAAUUAAUCAAAAUUUAUUAUAAGGCCUUAAGAUAGGAAUGACCUUAUUUUAGAAAUAUUUCGGUCUAAGAAAUCUAGGUUUUUGUCAAGGAGAAACAUUUCCGCCAGCUUGGAUCAGCUUAUAACACGUUCGGGAUUUAAAUACGGCCCAUUCGGGCCCAUCUACGAUGUGUUAAGCAUAUCCGGAAUCUUCUGGAGGAUGCAGCUGCUUGUCUACCUCCUUAAGCAGCUAGACAUGUGUUACUCUUUUACUGGAGAAUCCUCCAAGCAGCUCUUGCUUAUGUCCUAUUGGUUGAAUUGGUGGCUGGCAACAAAACUUGUUUUAAUUGGACAGAUUUGUGGCUGCACAUCAAUCUCUCUCCAAUUGGUUGCAUGGGGCACUCAGGACAGCUCCUGCUUGUAACCCACGACCUAUACCUUCUCCUGAGCUAAUUCUCCAGCCUAUAAAUAGCAGACCACCCCCUUAGUCAUUUCUCAUGCUUAGAACCCUAACCAUAGCAGCUCGAAAAAGUCGAAACCCUAAGGUAAAAUGUUUUUGUUUUUAGCUUUCUUUUUAUUUAGAUUUUGUUUUUUUUUUUUUAGUUAGAACUUGGAUAGCCUUCCUUACCCUAUCCUUCCUGUAUUUAGAUUUCUAAAGCUCUAGAGUUUUCCGAUCAAAGUAUAAAGAGAAGCCGACCGCGAGAUAGAAGCGUUUCCAGUCCAAAACUUUCAUCUAAGUAUUGAGGUGAGUCUCGGUUAUGGGUUAUGAUUGUUGUGUGUGCGACUAGCGCCUGCAAAACAAGAGUAUUGGUUGAUGCAUUACUAGGUUGUGCGUUUAGAUAUAUAAUGAUAUGAUAAUGAUUAAUGUUUGUGAAAGAUAUUUAGUUAUAUCGUCGGGCCUCGGCUCGAGAGGUAUAACAUUAUUGUGAUACAUUGAUGUUUUGUUGCAUAUACUUAUGUCAUUGCAUUAUAUUGUUUGGGCCUCGGCUAUGAUAAUAUAACAUGUUUGAUCAUAUCUUAACGGGGAAACCCGUAAAUCCACAGACUUGAUCCGGGAGAGUCCGACACUCGGGUGGAGUGCCGUGAGAGUCAUUGGUGUCCACUCGAGGCCCGUGCCUUGUCCGGGGCCUUACCAAAAUUAGUUCCGGCAGGACGGGAAGACACGUGUGAUAGGGUUAGCUACCCUCGACCGUGUAGCUGCAUGACGAUGCGGCAAGUGUGUUAUCCGGGCCAUCGGCUUUUUAGACUUUAUGUUGAGAGUCAAUGGGCG